GUCGUCACAGGCUCCGAACGAAGUAAAAAACAACUGUGUUCAUUUACUUUUCCGCUGCGCUUAUACUCGGUGUUUUUUCGAAUCGAUAUUCACCCCCCCUCUAUCGAAUCUAACGGUCCUACAAUAAGAAAACUGCAGCUCCUAUUCCAGCAAUCCAAUUUCAGAAUUCAAAAUUCAAAAUCAGAAAUUCAGAUUUAAAGCUUAAGUUUCAGCAGAUCAGAAAUCAAUUCCAGCAAUACGAAUUCAGAUGGGCAGCUUACUCCUGGACAAUUUCAAAGCCCACAUCAGGUUGCAUGCGUUAAACAUGAGAGUGCUUCGCAAAGAAGACCCAGAAAGCGGAGCAUUGCAGCACGGUAAGGUGGUGCGUUGAAACUUCCCAUGAGGACCAGAGCUUGCAGUAGUCAUCGACGCAUGGACCAAGCCGAACCCCAAAAACCCUUGAAAAGAAUUCAUGAAGCUUUGUGUCAUAGUAUUUAUCCAAAAUGAAAAGUUGGGAACCAAACAGGUCAAGGUUAUCAUGUAGUAUGCACAUGUUGGAGCUCACCCAUUCCCCACCACCCCGUGGGAUCCAAAUCCACUCUGCAACUUCAUUAUCAGGCUCCCAUUUAUGUUCAUUCAAGAAUAGGUACACUCUCGAGAUUGUAGUAAUAUCAGAGUGACACCUAAUAUGAAGUGCCAGUAAAAGGCAUGCUUGAGUGUCAUCCACAGAUACACCAAUUUCUUUAAGCUUCCUUCUAUAAGAAGCAAGCUCAGAUCCAUAAAAGAUGUCAUCAAUAAACGGACCGUCUUUUCUUUGCAAUAUCCACUUGGGAUCAAAAAGAAGGCUCUCUUUUGGAAAUCUGUAACCUAGAAUUGUUUUUAUCCAUCUAUUAUUCAUCUUUUGCUUGAACCCCA